rnacentral:rRNA from 1 species
AGGACGAUCGCCGGCGGCGUGCUUAACACAUGCAAGUCGAACAGGAGUUACCUUGGAAGCUUGCUUUUGAGAUAACUUAUUGGCGGACGGGUGAGUAACCCGUGAGUAAUCUGUCUCACACAGGGGAAUAACGCACCGAAAGUUGUGCUAAUACCGCAUGAGACCACAGAGGGGCAUCCCUUAGGGGUCAAAGAUUUAGCGGUGUGAGGUGAUCUCGCGUCCCGUUAGAUAGUUGGUGAGGUAACGGCCCACCAAGACGACGAUGGAUAGGCGACCUGAGAGGGCGAUCGGCCACAUUGGAACUGACAUACGGUCCAAACUCCUACGGGAGGCAGCAGUGGGGAAUAUUGUGCUAUGGGCGGAACCCUGACCCAGCUACGCCGCGUGAGGGAAGAAGGUUUUCAGAUUGUAAGCCUCAGUCCUCGGGGAAAACAAGAAGAUGGUACCCGGGGAGGAACCUCCGGCUAACUACGUGCCUCCGUCCGCGGUAAUACGUUAGGAGCUAGGGUUUUCCCCGAUUGUUGGGGCGUAAAGGGCGUGUGGGGGGCCUGUUAAGUUUGGAAUUAAAGUCAUGUUUUUAAGGGGGGAAUUCUUUUGGGUACUGAUGGGGUUGAGUGUGGGAGAGGUUAUCGGAAUUUUCAGUGUAGCGGUGAAAUGUGUAGAGAUUGGGAAGCACUCCAGUGGCGAAGUCGGGUAAUUGGAUCGCCACUGACGCUGAGGCGCGAAAGUGUGGGGAGCAAACUGGAUUAGAUACCCUGGUAGUCCACACUGUAAACGAUGAAUGCUAGGUGUAGGGGGUAUCGACCCCUUCUGUGCCGCAGUAAACACAAUAAGCAUUCCGCAUGGGGAGUACGGCCGCAAGGUUGAAACUCAAAGGAAUUGACGGGGGCCCGCACAAGCAGCGGAGCAUGUGGUUUAAUUGGACGCAACGUGAAGAACCUUACCAGGUCUUGACAUCCAAUUAAAGCUGUAGAGAUAUUGUGUGCUGUUUGGAGCGAAUUGAGACAGGUGGUGCAUGGUCGUCGUCAGCUCGUGUCGUGAGAUGUUGGGUUAAGUCCUGCAACGAGCGCAACCCUUACGGAUAGUUAGUAACACGCAAAGGUGAGGACUGUAUCAGGACUGCCGGGGACAACUCGGAGGAAGGUGGGGACGACGUCAAAUCAUCAUGCCCCUUAUGACUUGGGCUACACACGUGCUACAAUGGCCGUAACAAAGAGGAGCAAGCCCGCAAGGGUAAGCAGAUCUCAAAAAAGCGGUCUCAGUUUGGAUUGUGGGCUGCAACCCGCCCACAUGAAGUCGGAGUUGUUAGUAAUCGCAGAUCAGCAUGCUGCGGUGAAUACGUUCCCUGGGCCUUGUACACACCGCCC